rnacentral:rRNA from 1 species
CUACGGGGUGCAGCAGUGAGGAAUUUUGCGCAAUGGGGGAAACCCUGACGCAGCAACGCCGCGUGAGCGAAGAAGGCCUUCGGGUCGUAAAGCUCUGUCAAGUGGGAAAAAAAUUCUUUGAUGAACAGUCAAAGGACUUGAUGGUACCACUGGAGGAAGCACCGGCUAACUCCGUGCCAGCAGCCGCGGUAAUACGGAGGGUGCAAGCGUUGUUCGGAAUUACUGGGCGUAAAGAGCGUGUAGGCGGUUUGACAAGUCAGAUGUGAAAGCCCCGGGCUCAACCAGGGAAGUGCAUUUGAAACUGUUUCACUAGAGUAUGGGAGAGGAGAUUGGAAUUCCUGGUGUAGAGGUGAAAUUCGUAGAUAUCAGGAGGAACACCCGUGGCGAAGGCGAUUCUCUGGACCAAUACUGACGCUGAGACGCGAAAGCGUGGGGAGCAAACAGGAUUAGAUACCCCUGUAGUC